UUACACUGCUGUUGUAAAACU
rnacentral:piRNA from 1 species